rnacentral:rRNA from 1 species
GCUCAACCGGGGAGGGUCAUUGGAAACUGGGGAACUUGAGUGCAGAAGAGGAGAGUGGAAUUCCACGUGAAGCGGUGAAAUGCGUAGAGAUGUGGAGGAACACUAGUGGCGAAGGCGACUCUCUGGUCUGUAACUGACGCUGAGGCGCGAAAGCGUGGGGAGCGAACAGGAUUAGAUACCCUGGUAGUCCACGCCGUAAACGAUGAGUGCUAAGUGUUAGAGGGUUUCCGCCCUUUAGUGCUGCAGCAAACGCAUUAAGCACUCCGCCUGGGGAGUACGGUCGCAAGACUGAAACUCAAAGGAAUUGGCGGGGGCCCGCACAAGCGGUGGAGCAUGUGGUUUAAUUCGAAGCAACGUGAAGAACCUUACCAGGUCUUGACAUCCUCUGACAACCCUAGAGAUAGGGCUUCCCCUUCGGGGGCAGAGUGACAGGUGGUGCAUGGUUGUCGUCAGCUCGUGUCGUGAGAUGUUGGGUUAAGUCCCGCAACGAGCGCAACCCUUGAUCUUAGUUGCCAGCAUUCAGUUGGGCACUCUAAGGUGACUGCCGGUGACAAACCGGAGGAAGGUGGGGAUGACGUCAAAUCAUCAUGCCCCUUAUGACCUGGGCUACACACGUGCUACAAUGGGCAGAACAAAG